rnacentral:tRNA from 1 species
GGGUUGAUUUCCGAGUGGUUAAAGGUGACGUAUUGUAAAUUCGUUGACAUGUGUCUUCGUUGGUUCAAAUCCAGCUCAACCCA